rnacentral:rRNA from 1 species
UACAGAGGGUGCAAGCGUUAAUCGGAAUUACUGGGCGUAAAGCGCACGUAGGUGGUUUGUUAAGCUAGCUGUGAAAUCCCCGGGCUCAACCUGGGCACUGCAGUUAGAACUGGCAAGCUAGAGUAGGGUAGAGGGGUGUGGAAUUCCAGGUGUAGCGGUGAAAUGCGUAGAUAUCUGGAGGAACAUCAGUGGCGAAGGCGACACCCUGGACUCAUACUGACACUGAGGUGCGAAAGCGUGGGGAGCAAACAGG